rnacentral:rRNA from 1 species
AUUGAACGCUGGCGGCAGGCCUAACACAUGCAAGUCGAACGGUAACAGGAAGCAGCUUGCUGCUUUGCUGACGAGUGGCGGACGGGUGAGUAAUGUCUGGGAAACUGCCCGAUGGAGGGGGAUAACUACUGGAAACGGUAGCUAAUACCGCAUAACGUCGCAAGACCAAAGAGGGGGACCUUAGGGCCUCUUGCCAUCGGAUGUGCCCAGAUGGGAUUAGCUAGUAGGUGGGGUAACGGAUCACCUAGGCGACGAUCCCUAGCUGGUCUGAGAGGAUGACCAGCCACACUGGAAAGGAGACACAGUCCAGAGUCCUACGGCAGGCAGCAGUGGGGAAUAUUGCACAAUGGGCGCAAGCCUGAUGCAGCCAUGCCGCGUGUAUGAAGAAGGCCUUCGGGUUGUAAAGUACUUUCAGCGGGGAGGAAGGGAGUAAAGUUAAUACCUUUGCUCAUUGACGUUACCCGCAGAAGAAGCACCGGCUAACUCCGUG